UGGCGGCAGACCUUAACACAUGCAAGUCGAACGGUAACAGGAAGAAGCUUGCUUCUUUGCUGACGAGUGGCGGACGGGUGAGUAAUGUCUGGGAAACUGCCUGAUGGAGGGGAUAACUACUGGAAACGGUAGCUAAUACCGCAUAACGUCGCAAGACCAAAAAGGGGGACCUUCGGGCCUCUUGCCAUCGGAUGUGCCCAGAUGGGAUUAGCUAGUAGGUGGGUAACGGCUCACCUAGGCGACGAUCCCUAGCUGGUCUGAGAGGAUGACCAGCCACACUGGAACUGAGACACGGUCCAGACUCCUACGGGAGGCAGCAGUGGGGAAUAUUGCACAAUGGGCGCAAGCCUGAUGCAGCCAUGCCGCGUGUAUGAAGAAGGCCUUCGGUUGUAAAGUACUUUCAGCGGGGAGGAAGGGAGUAAAGUUAAUACCUUUGCUCAUUGACGUUACCCGCAGAAGAAGCACCGGCUAACUCCGUG
rnacentral:rRNA from 1 species